UCUUUGUUGUACUUUCUGGCCCUUUGAUUAUGAAAAUCAUCAGGUUUUCCUGAUUGGUUUAAUCUUUGAAGCUCAAAGGUUUCACCAACAAGUGGCCAUCCCAAACUUCCUGGAGGCAAAGGGGGUUUGGUUCUAUCUAUAUUGAAUCUGAAGACUAAAUAUGCAAAUCCACACACACCCAAGAAAAUGUACAGCAAGUACUCCAUUGUAGAUAUCACUCUUAGAGUUUUAGAUUGAUAGAAACCAUGGAAAUAACAAGAAAGAAUUUAUAGAGAAAAACAUCCAAAAAAGAUACAGGUCACUGUAUAGUUAAAUUGACAUCCAACGAACUUUCAAAGCUAUAAUCUAUACUACUACAGUAUAAACCUCAAUAAAAUUCAGGGGUAAGUCAUGAGAAUUGAGCUUUCAAAUUUUGUCACCUUAUUCUGACUAAAAUACCCUUUCAGUCAUGGUUUUUCGGUAAAUUUACAUAAUACCCUUUAAAUAAUAGUUUUAUUGUAAUUUAACAUAUUUUUAUUUAUGGGCUAGAUUUUUAUUUAUAAAUAAAAGGUCCAAUAAUUAAAAAAUAUAAUUAAAUUAAAAAAAUAUAAUAAACUCCUAUAGAAAAACUAUCCAAAUUUAUUUAAGAAAUAAUUAUUUCAUAAGAUUUAAUAAAUUAGUGUAAUUUAUAAUAUUUAAUAAAAUUAAUAACUUAAAACUUGAAUGGUGAUCCGAAAAUGGAUAAAUUAAAAUUAACCGGUGAAUAGCACCGGCUAAGACACUAGUAGAGGUUGAUUACCAAAAGAAACUAGAGAUUUUUGGACAUACCCCAUUUGAAAGUCGAAAUUUGAAAUACCCCAUAUGAAAAAAAAACUUGAGAUACCCCAAUUUCAAGAUGUGGUGUUAUCUUAGCCGUCCAUCAUAAAACUAAUCCAAGGCUGUAAAUCUCUUUUGUCUUAAACGGGGGUAUCUUAAUUUUAUUUUAAUUUUCAAAUGGGGUUAUCUCAAAUUUCGACUUUCCAAUGGGGUAUGUCCAAAAAUCUCAAGAAACUAUAAUAGAGUAGAUAUGGAUUUAAUUAGCUAAUAAGGAAACAUGGAAAUAACAAGGAACUUAUAAGGAAAAGCGUAGAAAAAAACACACAGGUUACUUGUAUAGUAAAUUGACAUCCAACCACUAUCAAAGUUGUUGAUUACCAAAAAAAAAUAAUAUAAUUUAUUUUAUAGAAUACUAGUAAAACCCGUGGCACUGCCACGACUACCAUUAAUAAUGUGAAGAUAGUACUCUUAAAAAUACAAUUCAUGGUAUUUGCAUAAUUCUGUUUAAUUUCAAAUAAGACACUAAUUGUAUACUACUUCCUCUGUCCCAUUUAUAUAGGCCACUUUGCUUUUUAUUUUUGUCCGAAAAUGUAGUUCAUUUUACCAUUUUUAAUGUGGUAGAAUAUUGAAAUUCACUAAUAUACCCUUAUUUAUCGGCUAAAAUAAAUAUUGUUAAAAUAUUGUGUAGCAUUAAUUGCCAAUGUUAAUGUAAAGAAUUAUGUGAAGAGUAAAUUCGAAAAUAUUUAUAUUUAAACUGUGUUUUUUUUUUAUGAAAGAUAAAAUAAAUGUGAAAAACACAAAGUGGCCUAUAUAAAUGGGACGAAGGGAGUAUCAUAAUAUAUACAUAUAAAGAUUUUUAUUAUUAUUAUUAUUAAAAGUACUAUAAUAAACUGAAAUGUCACGAUGUUUAGCUCAGCUUGUUAGAGUAUGUUUAUUAUGAUCUUUGAUUACAUCUCCUUUCUUCACACUUAGAACACAUUAGUAAUACCCGCGGUGCAACUACGAUUGACAAUUAAUUAUAUACUACAAUAAAAAUUUAAAUUUAGAUAAAUAAAUAUCUAUUGGGGAUCAUAUUUGUUUGAUUAAAAGUUGAUCAUCAUAAUAAAGCACUAAGCUACCAAUUAAUUUAUGCAUGCAAACCACAUGACUAAUUAGUUACUAAGUAGUAAAAGUUACAUAGAAGGAGAAACCAUAUGAUCUCAAAUCAAAAGUAAAAAUUGAUAUACAUGUUAAAUAAAAACAAGUUUAUGAUCUGAAAAUGUGUUAGUGGAACAAUAGAUUUCCUUUAUUAGUGUCAUAUUCUUCAAAGUCCAAAGCAAAACCUUUGUACAAACUGUUUAAUAUUAUCUCAUGAAGUAGUAUUUGUUUUGGAAAAAAACAAAAGCAACCUCAAAUUUCGAAGUAGGCUUUGUCCUCGUCCUUCCUGUAAAUUGAAAAAAAAAAUAAAAAAUAAAAAAUCAUCAGAAAAGCUAUAUUUCUAUUAAAACACAGUAACAAAAUAAUGUUGUCUAUAGAGAAAGAUUACUGAAAUAAUGCAUUGUACCAUGUUGAAAUGUAUAUCUACUUGCAAUUGCUUUUAAACCCUUGGUACCAAAAAUUAAAAGAAAUAUAUCUAGAAAUGAUAAGAUUCAGUAAGUGGAACCAAGAUUCAAGUAAGUGGAACCAUAAACAAUGCUUAUGAAGAAAUGAGCAUUUCACAAUUUCUCAGAGUAUUCGUAAACAAUCCUUAGGAAGAUAUGAAAAAUUCACAAUUACUCUGGUUAUCUAGAUGAGGAGUAUUCUGAUAUUGGUACAAAUUUCUAAACACAAUAAAAAUUGAAUUAUCUCUAAUUGGUUUUAUUCCUUUUGCGAAACAUACGAAGGAUUGUGACUUUAAUUAGUAACAAAUUGAACACAUUCAUAUACAUCGUAUAAUUACAUUUGCACAUUAAACAGGUAAUCAUGAGAGGAGCAAAUUUUAUCUUACUCACAACUUCUAAAUCAUUCUACAAACCUAAAGGAUAAGUCCUAGUAAACAAAUAUCUUCUUCUUCUAGAGGUAAAACUUACAACUUACCGAAAUUAAUCCUAGUAAAAAAUUUGCUGAAAUUAAAAUUUCUGAAAAUUGUAGGUUUAAAAAAUCUGCUACAUAUCAAUUGAAUCAAAGAAAAUUAAAACUUGAAAAGACAUGUUACCUUUAAUAGCUAUUGGACCCCUAAAAACUGCUCGAGAUACAUUAACAAAUAAAGUGAACUGUUUGUUGAUAUUUCUUCAAUAGAGAGAGAGAGAGGGAGUUGUAAUUGGUUUGGUUAGAGAACGGAGAAAAAAGAGUAAAUUCGGCCGAAAAAUUGAGAUCAAAUUGGACCACCUGAUGAUGUAUCCACGAAGUAGCAAACCCUAAAUAAAAUAGGCCCAACCAUCUAACACAACUUAAGUUUGAACCCAAUCUAAAUGUGAUCCCAACCAUCCAACACAACUUAAGUUUGGACCCAAUCUAAUCCAACGAUUGAUAAAUGAGUUUGUCUCCAAUCCAAUCACAACCACAAAUUUAAUCUACAACUUCGAACUCGAGAGAAUCCAGAUCGCUACUUAUAACCCAAACUUAUCUAUUUUAUGUACCCUUUGAAGAUUAUAAUAUAGAUAGUUAUAUACAUUCUCUAUAUGGUUGGUUAGGUCUGCAAUUAAAAAUGUUUAGUACCAUCAUAUUCCAUGCGCGUUGGUAUAAACCAUAUCAAUUCGUUUACCAUCAUAUAUGGUGAAGCUGCGCACACACAUAAUAAAGGACUAUUGUGUUCACUGAUUGUAUGCCUGAGAGAAAUGAUAAUAAGAACAUUUACUUUUAGCUAAAUAGAUGGGUAAUAUCCCCCCAAAAAACCCAUGUUUAGGUGCCUCUUCCCCAAUAGGCCCUGACAUGGGGUCAUCUUCUCAAACAAGCCCUUACCCUACUUUUCUUUAUUUUGUUUGACUAAAAUACCCAUUGUACUAAAGACAAAAGAAAAAAUUAGAAUAAGACAAAUAAGAAAGACAAAAACAUAUUCUUUUAAUAUUAAUUAAUUGUUUUUGUUAUAUUAUUUGUAACUUGUAUAUCUUUUGAUUAAGAAAAUUAAAAACAAUAUGAUGUAUAUGGUUGGAAAGAUCUCGACGAGAUCUAUCUAACAAGAUCCCACAUGGGUAUGAAAAAAAAAACAUGUGAUUUUUAUUUUCUCGAUAAUUUUUUCUCUAUAUCUUGUAAGGGUCUUGUCCGCUAAAACAUUGAUUGUUGUUUUCUAAACAAUAUACUUUUAUCCUCUAAACAAGCUAUUGUAUCCACUUAAUAUGCAAUUUUACUAAAUCACAUUAUAUAUUGAAAAGUGUUAAGAAGUGGAUUAAAGCUGGUUAUCAAAGUAUAUUGGUCAUGGUUCCAUAUGUAUUACUUGAAUUUUGUGGAAAAAUAAGAAUGGAUGAGUGUUUAAACAAAUUAAAGGAAGAUUAUCAGUUUCAAUGAUGGUUGGAGAGCACAUGAGUCUGUGGCUCAACAGUUGCAUCCAUCUCACAAAGUGGAGAGUUCGUUGGUUCGAAACACGCUAGUAACUGAUUGUUUGAUAUAAGUUUCCUCACGUAAUUUAAAAGGGUAAGGGGGUGCCCUCAACCCCGUUUGCCAAAAAAAAAAGAUGGUUAAAGAUGUGAGCUAUUAUAUUGUUCUGGUGUGGGGGAUGUGAAGGAAGAAUGGAGUACAAAUUUGACGAGUUUCUUGGCAUUAAACCAGGCAAAAUGAAGGAUUUAUGUUUAGACUGGGUUAUGUUCUCUUCUUAUGGUUUGGGAUGUACCCUAAAAAGAUUAUAUAGUUUUUUGUGAAGUUAACUAUACAUUAAAUGUUUUUAUAAACUUUUCAUGGCAAUACAAUUUUUUUUUUGUCUGUACUAUAAGGGUUUUGUCCUCAAUGGAGACAUCAAACUCAUGCAUCAAAUUACAGACUACAAUCCACAUAUAUUAAUAAUAUGGAAUAUAUAUCAUGUCUUUGCAAUUUACAGAACAACAAGUAACAAUUUAGAGGAUAUUGCUAUAGUGUUAAAAAACAAGAAAACAUUUUUUAGGGGACAAAAAUAAAAACUCUUGAAUUUAAUAGUAAUAGGUGAUUUUUUUUAGAUUUUCAGAGUAACUUUGAAAAACCUUUUGAAAUCAUAAGGAGUUUUUUUUUUUUUUUUUUUUUUUUCGAAACCCAACUUCUCAGUAAAAAAAAUAUGAAUAUUUGAAUUUUUAUAAAAAAUUUAAUUUUUUAAAUUUAAAAUUUUAUAUUCAUGUGGGAUCUCGUUUGAAAGAUCUCGUCGAGAUCUUUCCAACUAUAUACACCAUGUUUAUUUUCGAUUUCUAAAUCACAAGUUAUAAAAUUUUCAAAUGUUAAAACCAAAAAGUUAUACACCAACUGUUUUUUUGUCUUUUUCUGAGUUUUUUUUGUCUUAUACUGACUUUAGAGAACAAAAAUGUUGAUUUUAGAGAAUAUAAUACAAGGGUAAUUUUGACCGAUUAAAAAUUAUGAAAUAGUCAAAGGGCUUGUUUAAGAAGAUGACCCUAUGUCAAGGCCUUUCGGGGAAAAGGCACCUGAACAUGGGGCUUUUUGGGGAUAUUACCCUAAAUAGAUUUGUGUAAUUUAUGAAAACAUGUUAAUUCACCGUCAACUUGCCCACGCAGACACUAGUGCUUAAUCUAUUUUGUUGAUGUAUAUAUUAAACCGAAUAUAAUUCUUCUCAUCCCUAUGUUCAUGUCUAUGAAAUAUUAGUAUAUUACAAAAUUUGAACAACAGUGAUGUGGGGUUUAAGACUUUAAGAGUUUAAGGUGAUGGCUAAGCCAUUGACCCUCUGUAAUUAUAUUUCUGCAUUGCAGUGGGUGCCUCUAAUCCAUCAUUAAUUUCUAUCCAUAGUAUCGGAGAACACCGCUAAAUACAUUAUUAUACAGACUAAAGACUUAGAAAUUAUUCUUCUUAAGCAUAUCCAAAACAAUGGAGAACACCGCUAAUAUAUAUAGUUAUAAAAGCAAGUGGAGAUAAUACAGAUUAAUGGUGUUGGUAAAGGUAGACAGGCAACCCUUUAUAUGAUGUAGGCAUUGGAUCAACACCAAUUAUCUCAUCUGGAAACUCAAGUUCCCACCUAAAUUCUUGCACAAGAUGGUGGAGAAAUACAAGAAUCUCAAGUUUUGCAAACUCAUUGCCAGGGCACAUCCUAGGGCCACCUCCAAAGGGAACAAAUGUAUAUGGAGUGAGCUUGUCUCGGUUGAAUCUCACUGGAUCGAAUUUCUCUGGAUCGGGAAAAUGUUCUGCAUCCUUAUGCGUUGAAUUUGUAUUCCAUGAAACCUUUACAAAUUGCAACCAAAGCAUAAAAAACACAAGUUAGAAAGAGAAUAGUGCAAAGUAAACAUUGUUAAUUAAAACCAUUUGAAAAAGAAUAUUGCCAAGGUUAAAAGAGUACACUAAGCUGUUGCUAGUUUCUAUUUGAUGAGGAAUUAAACCCCUUGGAAAUUCAGCCGUGCCGAAUAUGGAAUAUCACAGUGAGCUUGAGUGGUCAAUAUCACAGAAUGUCGCUGCCCACAGGAAUGCACGAGUUUUCAGUUUAAUAUUUUUUUUGAAAACUCAUGCAUCCUUGUAAGGCUGUUAUAUCUAUUAAAACACACAACCUAAUAGCAAAAGACCAAGACGGCAACUUUUUGGCUUAAAAUUGAUAAUCAUCCACACUUUUGUUUUUCGCCAGUGACUUACCAUCCAACCCUUUGGAACAGAAUAUCCCUUAUAAGUGAAAUCUACUUUAGCCUUUCUAAAUGUUCCUUGAAUUGGAGGUGCAAGCCUGAGGACUUCUUUUACAACAUUCCAUGAGUACUUCAUCUUCUGAAUGUCAUCUUUGUUCAAUAACUCCCCUGGUUUUUUCUGCAUAGCUAUUUCUCUUUGUUCUGACAAAAGAAUAGAAAGUCAUAAUUUCAUUUGUUCUGCAAAUGAUCUGAAGAAGGCCAUACCUUGUGAUAAGAGUGUAACAAACCUUGGAGAACUUCAUGGUAGCAGUCAGGUGUCUCAGCAAGAUAUUUCAUUAACAUCAUCAUAGUAGAAGUACUGGUAUCAUGCCCUGCAUCCAUGAGAAGUAGUACAUUAUCCACGAUCUCAAUAUCGCUUAACAACUUCCCAUUUUCAUAUCGUGCCUCUAUCAAAUGUGAUAUCAAGUCCUUAUCUGUUCUACUUUUUGAAUCUUUCAUUGCUCUUUUUUUCUCAAUCACUUUAAUUAGCUCUUGGCGUAUAAAAACCCCAGAUUUUACUGCUUUAUAGUGCCUAGUUCCAGGGAAAUAAAUUGGGAGCUGAAACACUCCUCCAAGCAAACUAUUAAAUUCUUCCAACAUCUUUGUUUCCCAAUCGGGAUCGUCCAUGCUAGUAAACAUGUCACAAGCAAUCGAGAAAGCGUACUUCUUGAUUAAUGAGAAGGCCUUCACCUUAUUUUGACCAAUCCAAUCUCUCUGCAUACAGUUCCUGCAAGUCUUAUCAAACCUCUCUACAAGUUGGUGCAUCACUUCUUGUUGCAAAAAGCCUGUAACAAGUUUACGAGUUCGCACUGCUUCAUCAUAUGGAGCUGUAAAGAAAGCAGUACCAAAUAAUUUCUUGAGAGAAAGAGGCCACCAUGUCAAGACUAACGUCUUUUCCGAUGUGAAAACAAACUUAUUUCCAGCUGCUCCACAUAUAAAGAUUGACUUCUCUCCAAGAAUAGAUGUCUUGUAGAUGUCUUUGUUGUACUUUCUGGCCCUUUGAUUAUGAAAAUCAUCAGGUUUUCCUGAUUGGUUUAAUCUUUGAAGCUCAAAGGUUUCACCAACAAGUGGCCAUCCCAAACUUCCUGGAGGCAAAGGGGGUUUGGUUCUAUCUAUAUUGAAUCUGAAGACUAAAUAUGCAAAUCCACACACACCCAAGAAAAUGUACAGCAAGUACUCCAUUGUAGAUAUCACUCUUAGAGUUUUAGAUUGAUAGAAACCAUGGAAAUAACA
rnacentral:lncRNA from 1 species